AUAAAAUAGAAAGAGCGUACGGUGGAUGCCUUGGCAUUAAGAGAUGAUGAAGGACGUAACUAACAGCGAUAUGCCUCGGGGAGUCGUAAGUAGACAACGAUCCGGGGAUUUCCGAAUAGGGCAACCUAGUUACCGUAAUAGGUAAUUGCAUCUUAGAUCAAUAAAUACUCUUUGAUGGAGCAACCCAGGGAAUUGAAACAUCUUAGUACCUGGAGGAAAAGAAAAUAAAUUAAUGAUUCCCUUAGUAGUGGCGAGCGAACGGGGAAAAGCCCAAACCACCUUUGAGGUGGGGUUGUAGGACCAUAAUGUGGUAUACAUUUGGAUAGUUGAAGAAGUUGGAAAGCUUCUCCCUAGAUGGUGAUAGGCCAGUAAACGAAAUCCAAAUGUAACCUAUUGGUAUCCUGAGUACAACGAGGCACGUGAAACCUUGUUGGAAUCCACCGGGACCAUCCGGUAAGGCUAAAUACUCCUUAAUGACCGAUAGUGAACUAGUACCAUGAGGGAAAGGUGAAAAGAACCGCUGGCGCGGAGUGAAAUAGAACCUGAAACCGUAUGCUUACAAGAAGUCAGAGCACAUUUAAGUGUGAUGGCGUGCCUUUUGUAGAAUGAACCUGCGAGUUAUGUUAUCGUGCGAGGUUAAAUCGAAAAGAUGGAGCCGUAGCGAAAGCGAGUCUUAAUAGGGCGAAUUAGUACGAUGACAUAGACCCGAAGCCGUUGUGAUCUAUCCAUGAUCAGGUUGAAGGUUGGGUGAUACCAACUGGAGGACCGAACCGACCCCCGUUGAAAUGUUGGCGGAUGAAUUGUGGAUAGCGGAGAAAUUCCAAACGAACGCGGCGAUAGCUGGUUCUCCCCGAAAUAGCUUUAGGGCUAGCGUCGGACGUAUCUGUGUGCAGGUAGAGCACUGAAAUCAUGAUGGCCUCAUCCCGAGGUACUGAUUGGUAUCAAACUCCGAAUGGCAUACAGUUUUAUCCGGCAGUCAGACUACGAGUGAUAAGGUCCGUGGUCAAAAGGGAAACAGCCCAGAUCAUCAGUUAAGGUCCCAAAAUUAAUGCUAAGUGGAAAACGAGGUGGAAUUGCGUGAACAGCUAGGAGGUUGGCUCAGAAGCAGCCAUCCUUCAAAGAGUGCGUAACAGCUCACUAGUCGAGUGAUUCUGCGCGGAAAAUUUACCGGGGCUAAGCAUUAUACCGAAACUAUGGCAAUACAUGUAUUGGGUAGGGGAGCGUUCUAUUCAGCGUUGAAGGUAUACCGUAAGGAGUGCUGGAGCGUAUAGAAGUGAGAAUGCAGGCGUGAGUAGCGAGAAAUAUGUGAGAAUCAUAUUCACCGAUAGACUAAGGUUUCCAGGGGAAGGUUCGUCCGCCCUGGGUAAGUCGGGACCUAAGACGAGGCCGAAAGGCGUAGCCGAUGGACAACUGGUUGAUAUUCCAGUACCUGCUUAGUUAGUGAUGGAGUGACAGAUGUGGUUAGUAUAUCCCCAUUAUUGGAUUUGGGGUUAAGCGAAGUAGUUGUAGUAUUGGCAAAUCCGUACUAUAAAACAAAUGCGUGAUAAGGAGUGAACGAGCGAUCAAGUAGCGAAGUUAUAUAUACCAUGUCUCAAGAAAAGCUUCUAAACUUAUAACUAAGUAGCCCGUACCUAAACCGACACAGGUGGUCAAGGCGAGUAGCCUAAGGUGAGCGAGAGAACUGUUGCCAAGGAACUCGGCAAAAUUGUCCCGUAACUUCGGAAGAAGGGACGCUCGAAAGAGCCGCAGCGAAGAGGCCCACGCAACUGUUUAUCUAAAACAUAGCUCUCUGCUAAGUCGAAAGACGAUGUAUAGGGGGUGACGCCUGCCCGGUGCUGGAAGGUUAAGGGGAUUUGUUAGACGUAAGUCGAAGCUUUGAACCGAAGCCCCAGUGAACGGCGGCCGUAACUAUAACGGUCCUAAGGUAGCGAAAUUCCUUGUCAGGUAAGUUCUGACCCGCACGAAAGGCGUAAUGAUGUGGGCGCUGUCUCGGCAGCAGACUCGGUGAAAUCUUAGUACCUGUGAAGAUGCAGGUUACCCGCAACUAGACGGAAAGACCCCAUGGAGCUUUACUAUAACUUAAUAUUGAGUUUUGAUUUAGUAUGUACAGGAUAGGUAGGAGACUUUGAAGUGAGAACGCUAGUUUUCAUGGAGUCGAUGUUGGGAUACUACUCUUAUUAACUCGAAAUUCUAACCUGCAGGUUACAUCAACCUGGGGAACAGUGUUAGGUGGGUAGUUUGACUGGGGCGGUCGCCUCCCAAAAUGUAACGGAGGCGCUCAAAGGUACUCUCAGGUUGGUUGGAAAUCAACUGUCGAGCGUAAUUGCAGAAGAGUGCUUGACUGCAAGACUUACAAGUCGAGCAGGGACGAAAGUCGGAAAUAGUGAUCCUGCGGUUCAGUAUGGAAUGGCCGUGGCUUAACGGAUAAAAGCUACCCUGGGGAUAACAGGCUGAUCUCCCCCAAGAGUUCACAUCGACGGGGAGGUUUGGCACCUCGAUGUCGGCUCAUCGCAUCCUGGAGCUGAAUUCGGUUCCAAGGGUUGGGCUGUCCGCCCAUUAAAGCGGUACGCGAGCUGGGUUCAAAACGUCGUGAGACAGUUUGGUCCCUAUCUGUUGUGGGCGUUGGAAUUUUGAGGAGCGCUGUCCCUAGUACGAGAGGACCAGGAUGGACGUACCUAUGGUGCACCAAUUGUUUCGCCAGAAGCAUAGUUGGAUAGCUAAGUACGGAUCGGAUAAACGCUGAAGGCAUCUAAGCGUGAAACCGACUCCAAGAUGAGAAUUCCCAUUCACUUGAUGAAGUAAGACCCCUUAUAGACUAUGAGGUUGAUAGGUUAAAGAUGGAAGUGUAGCAAUACAUUGAGUUGAUUAAUACUAAUAGGUCGAGGAUUUUAUCAU
rnacentral:rRNA from 1 species